UGUUAGAAACUACAUUUCUGUGGCAGAUCACUGCGACUGUGAAGCAUGCUCUCGUGACGUAACCAUCAAAUCAUACGGUGCUACUGCUGAUCUUAAUGGUAGAGGACUUGUAAGACCGCAAGAGUGGAGCAGUCAACUCAUAAUGAGGGAGUGCUUCAGUUUUUGUGCCUCUGUUUGUUGAUAUAUCUUGACAACGUAAUUUAACACAAGCGAUUACAGGAACAACAAUGAAAGGAUUUACCUUGCUUCUGUUUAGCCUUGCCAUGCUGAAAAGUACAGCAGCCGCUACUCUGAGAGACACUAUUGAUACAGUGCAAACUAUCAGUGACGGCGAGAUCAUAGUUUCAGCUGGAAAAGUCUUUUCAUUAGGAUUCUUCAGUCCAGGCAAUUCAAAAAACCGUUAUGUUGGAAUUUGGUACUACAGAAUCCCAAUACAGACUGUAGUAUGGGUUGCCAACAGAAACAACCCUCUUACUGACUCAUCAGGGGUUUUGAAGCUCAAUGAAACUGGACUUCUAGUUCUUCUCAACCAUAACAAGAGUGUUAUGGUUUCUCAUUAAUAUCUCUUUCUUUCAGAAGCUAUUCAAAGAAAGCAAUCACCUAAAUCCAAAAGUAGGAAACAAGAGACUGUUAUCAUAAGCUGUGUGUUGUCUGUUGGAAUUUUAAUCCUAUGCUUAACCUUCAUCAUUCAUAGACAGUGGAGGACAUGGCAGAAAUCCAG